rnacentral:lncRNA from 1 species
GGAAUGGAAAAGCCAAUUUUAGCGAAAUCACCACUGUGGCAACACAAAGAAGGCAGCCUCAGUGUAAUGUUUGUGACAAGUUAUACCAUAAUCCAGAAGAGGCUAGCAAGUGCUGGAUGAGCCAUAUGUCAGUAGUUUAUCCAGUGGCUGAAAUUGUAAGGAGCCCAGAACCAAGGCCAUCCUGGGCACCUGAUGUCAUUAUUGAAAGUCCAGAACAACCAAGCAAUAUAAGAAGCAAUGAAACACUAGAGGUAGAGCUGAUUGGUGAUCCUGAAGAACUACCUGAUGAUCCAACUGAACUUCUUGAAGAAUCUCAAGCGACAGGGUAAGUCAGAAAGAUUUGGACGACAGAAAGACUAAAAGAAUUAAUAAAGGAGAAUUACCCUCAUCUGGUGGAGUAAGCAGUCAACUGUUUGGGAAAUGAUUAAGAACACCUUGCAUGAAUUUGUCCUAACAACAGGUACACCUGUCAUGACAGCUGCUAUGCAAAUCCCUCCCAGAACACAAGUGACCACAAGAACAUGGAGACGGCUAACUGGAAGAGAACAGCUUGUCUCCAAAAUGAGACA